UACGAAGGGGGCUAGCGUUGCUCGGAAUUACUGGGCGUAAAGGGCGCGUAGGCGGAUCGUUUAGUCAGAGGUGAAAGCCCAGGGCUCAACCUUGGAAUUGCCUUUGAUACUGGCUAUCUUGAGUUCGGGAGAGGUGAGUGGAAUGCCGAGUGUAGAGGUGAAAUUCGUAGAUAUUCGGCGGAACACCAGUGGCGAAGGCGACUCACUGGCCCGAUACUGACGCUGAGGCGCGAAAGCGUGGGGAGCAAACAGG
rnacentral:rRNA from 1 species